UGGGGAAUAUUGGACAAUGGGCGAAAGCCUGAUCCAGCCAUGCCGCGUGUGUGAAGAAGGUCUUCGGAUUGUAAAGCACUUUAAGUUGGGAGGAAGGGCAGUAAGCGAAUACCUUGCUGUUUUGACGUUACCGACAGAAUAAGCACCGGCUAACUCUGUGCCAGCAGCCGCGGUAAUACAGAGGGUGCAAGCGUUAAUCGGAAUUACUGGGCGUAAAGCGCGCGUAGGUGGUUCGUUAAGUUGAAUGUGAAAGCCCCGGGCUCAACCUGGGAACUGCAUCCAAAACUGGCGAGCUAGAGUAGGGCAGAGGGUUGUGGAAUUUCCUGUGUAGCGGUGAAAUGCGUAGGUAUAGGAAGGAACACCAGUGGCGAAGGCGACCACCUGGGCUCAUACUGACACUGAGGUGCGAAAGCGUGGGGAGCAAACAGG
rnacentral:rRNA from 1 species